rnacentral:rRNA from 1 species
CCUUGGUGCCUUCGGGAACGCUGAGACAGGUGCUGCAUGGCUGUCGUCAGCUCGUGUUGUGAAAUGUUGGGUUAAGUCCCGNAACGAGCGCAACCCUUAUCCUUUGUUGCCAGCGAUUCGGUCGGGAACUCAAAGGAGACUGCCGGUGAUAAACCGGAGGAAGGUGGGGAUGACGUCAAGUCAUCAUGGCCCUUACGAGUAGGGCUACACACGUGCUACAAUGGCGCAUACAAAGAGAAGCGACCUCGCGAGAGCAAGCGGACCUCAUAAAGUGCGUCGUAGUCCGGAUCGGAGUCUGCAACUCGACUCCGUGAAGUCGGAAUCGCUAGUAAUCGUGGAUCAGAAUGCCACGGUGAAUACGUUCCCGGGCCUUGUACACACCGCCCGUCACACCAUGGGAGUGGGUUGCAAAAGAAGUAGGUAGCUUAACCUUCGGGAGGGCGCUUACCACUUUGUGAUUCAUGACUGGGGUGAAGUCGUAACAAGGUAAGCGUAGCGAG